rnacentral:rRNA from 1 species
CCUUGAAACGGGGGUCGUAAUACUGGAUACGAGACGCUCGGGCAUCCGAAGUGUCUGGAAAGAUUUAUCGGUCAGAGAUGGACUCGCGGCCUAUCAGCUUGUUGGUGGGGUAACGGCCACCAAGGCGACGACGGGUAGCCGGCCUGAGAGGGCGACCGGCCACACUGGGACUGAGACACGGCCCAGACUCCUACGGGAGGCAGCAGUGGGGAAUAUUGCACAAUGGGCGCAAGCCUGAUGCAGCGACGCCGCGUGAGGGAUGACGGCCUUCGGGUUGUAAACCUCUUUCAGCAGGGAAGAAGCGAAAGUGACGGUACCUGCAGAAGAAGCGCCGGCUAACUACGUGC